GACCCGGUAGCUCAGUUGGUAGAGCAGCGGCCUUUUAAGCCGUAGGUCGUGGGUUCGAUCCCCACCCGGGUCAC
rnacentral:tRNA from 1 species